GGAGGCCGCCGGGCUGCGCCGCGCUCCCCGCUGCGGCCGCUGGGGGCCGGGCAGCGCCGCGGGGCGCCUGGCCCGGCAGAGGGACAGGGAGGGUCCCCGGCACGAAACCGAAGGGACUUCGCGGUUUCCCGGGGCGAGCGGGGUCAGGCAGCGCUGCGGUCGCACCGGUGCACGGACCCCCCGCCUGGGCCCAGCCUCUCCGCUCCGCCUCGGGGCUCUGCGGGGGCCGGCAGCCGCCGGAGCGCGGCCCUGCGCGGCGGCCGGAAGGGGUUCGCCGCCGGCCUGGGAAGGCAGGGCCCGCAUGUCGCCCCCGCCGGGACGGGCCUAAGCCCCGCGGGGGUUUCACCGCUUCCCCGCGGGGCCUGGCUGGCCGAGGAGCCGAUCUUAACUUUUCUGAAACAAAUAUUUAGAAUUGUUGCUUCCAAUACUGGUGAAGAACUAGGUAAGACUAGAAGGUAAAGCUGGUGGCUAAAGGUGUGGAAUUUGGGCCUGGAUGUCAUUUAUUGCUCAAGGGAUACGACAGAUGAAAACUCAACUGUGUGAUGACAGAGUUGUGAUGGAGAACAGGCAGAAGUUGGUGCUGGGAGCCUCUGUUGACAAGCUCGAUGCUGGCAGCUUGGGCCUGAUGAUGAUUCAUUGAUGAUCAAGUGCAAUGAACAGCUCCAUCAUCCUCCAACAGACGCAUCCUACAAACAGCAAUCUGUACGGCAUCCUGUGCUCACACGAAACGUGAAACUCAUUUGCCCUAACUUGGGUGACCGCAUUACCCUCAGUAAUAGAAAGAAAUACCUCCAGAGAACAACUCUUCAUUCAAAUUAUUUUUCCAGUGACAGAAGUUGGAACUUUUCAGAUUAAAAGAAGAAUGAUUAGCUUGAGGAAACCAACAGCGAUUUAACAGAAACACUGUAAGGACGUCUACCAAAAUACUGACACCACUGAAAAUUUCUAAAUGUCGAGCUGGUUUUGUUGGGCACUCCGCUGAAUAUCACAACAGGAAUCAAGGAAUGUUCACAAAACGAAACAACAAUCUGCGCUUUGGAGAGCUUUGGUACUAGAACCGGUACUUUUUCAUAUGUGAUGGAUGCAGCAGGGACACGGAAGCAGGACUGCAUGCAAAUAGAAGGUGACUCCGGAUCCAGAUGUCCUCCUGCUUGCCUGGCCUGCCCUUGCCAGCUGCACUAUUGGCGAGAAGUGUUUGCCACCUGAUGUAUCUGUACUGUACUGACAUCUUGCUUUUGAGGAAGAACAUAGCAAACUAUUCCUCUGUUGGCUAGAGGCAUCAGUAAAUGUACUAAACUUUUCCUCCUGACUGGAGUUUGAUUGGGAAAUGACCUAGGUAGCCAAAAGAAAAAGAUUUGCUGUACAAGUGAGAGCACAAGUUUUCAUUAAGUAACUUUCUCCACCUGUUGAGUCCUAAUUGCAAGACUCCUAUACACUAUAUUCUUUAUUUAACUGCCAGUUAAGGCUCAAAUUACAAUCAUUGCUGAUUCCUUCUCACACAAACAAUUGCCCAUAAUGGGUGCCCACGGUGAUCAUAGAAUCGUCUAGGUUGGAAGGGACCUUUAAGAUCAUCGAGUCCAACCAUCAACAUAACACUGCCAAAACCACCACUAAACUAUAUCCCUAAGCACCACAUCUACCCGUCUUUAAAAUUCCUCCAGGGAUGGCCAUUCCACCACUUCCCUGGGCAGGCUGUUGCAAUGCUUCAUAAGCCUUUCAGUGAAGAAAUUUUUCCUAAUAUCCAAUCUAAACCUCCCCUGGCGCAACUUGAGGCCAUUUCCUCUUGUCCUAUUGCCCGUCACUUGGGAGAAGAGAUGGACCCCCACCUCUCUACAGCCUCCUUCCAGGUAGUCGUAGAGAGCGAUAAGGUCUCCUCUCAGCUUCCUUUUCUCCAGGCAAAACAACCCCAGCUCCCUCAGCCACUCCUCAUAAGACUUGUUCUCCAGACCCCUCACCAGCUUUGUUGCACUUCUCUGGACACGCUCCAGCACCUCAAUGUCCUUCUUGCAGUGCGGGGCCCAAAACUGGACACAGUACUCCAGGUGCGGCCUCACCGGUGCUGAGUACAGGGGGACGAUCCCUUCCUUAGUUGUGCUGGCCACACUAUUGCCAAUAGGGGCCAGGAUGCUGUUGGCCACCUUGGCCACCUGGGCACACUGCUGGCUCAUAUUCAGCUAGCUGUCGAUCAACAUGCCCAGGUCCUUUUCUGUGGGGCAGCUUUUCAGCCACCCUUCCCCAAGCCUGUAGCGCUGCCACACUACAAACCUGAUGUCAGAUAGGAUGGCCACAGUCUGCAGUCAGUCCAAAGCUCAGUUUCAGCUCAAAGAGUAAGUCAUAAAAUAAUAAUCUGAUCCCCACCAAAUCGCCAGUUUGGAACCAGGAAGAGUCUCACAAACUAAUGACUGCCAUUAGUCAAAUACAUUUCCUUAAAUAUAACUGAAAAGGACAGUUCAACAUCCAUGAAUGUUGCAUGGCGUUCAAUAAGACAUCAGAAGAUGCUUGAGGGAAUAGAACCAGUUCAUAUAUCUGUCAGCUUUUAUACGUUUACACCGAGAUACUGGCAACCAGUAUAUUUUGUUGGGAGUAUACUUAAACAAUGGAAAACUUAUUUCAGGAAGCAAGUAAAUAAAUGGAUCAGAGACCUGAAUUAGUUAUCUGGGCACAUGAAAUUACUACUACUGCUCCAUUUAGAUUCAUUUAAAGUUAAUAUCUGCCCAAAAAUUGGAGUCAGUUAGUUGGGGCAACUAAUAAUGAGGGGGUUGGGUGGGGUUUCUUUGCGUCUGUCUCAGAUUAUAUAUCCCUUAUCUGUUAAGAACUUUCCAACAUUCUCAUGUUUCAGAGAUAUUGCUUACUUAGCAAAGCUGGUCUCCUGCCUACAUGCUUUUAUUCCUCUGUUUUAUAUAACACAGUAGAACUUCUGAGUUCUACCCUUAAGUGGCGACUGGGGUCAAUGGAAGCUGGAGGAGAAAAUAUUAGAAAUAUAGGACAAAUUAGAUGCUGACGUUGUGGUUAGCUUCUGAUAUCCAUUGGCUUCUAUCUGAAGACAGAUGGAUGUCUCAGGUUUUGCCAGCUAGUGACGCCUUCCAGAGAAACAAUAGUUUCAUUGUCUCUCUAUUGAUCUGCACUAUGUGGUUUUUAAACACUAGCAUUCUGAAUGACCUAAAAAAAACCCUAUGGCAGAGGGAAGUUGGAAUAGAGAAAUGCUGGCACAAGAGGAGGGAAUGGAAGUAGUUUGUGUGGGAGUGAGGAUAAGAAAGAAGAACCUGGAAUGCAUGCAGAAACCUUGGCAAGGGAAAAAAAAAGGAUACUGGGCUGGGAUUCUAGGAAAAGGGAAGCGAGUUCAUGACAGGGAAGUGAACAGAAAGAGGCAGGAGAUUUCAGUAAAUCUUAAAAUGGGAUGGGAAUGGAAAAUGGCAUGCUGGGACCUCAGGAAGUCUCUAAUAAAUGCAAUGCAAUGCUCAGCACCUUCAACAACUGCAAAGUGAAUGGCAGAACCCCUUUGAUGGCAGGUUUCAAAAACUCAGAAUUUAUGGUCAUAAGUAUUAUCAGUGAGUAUCUACAGGGAGAAACUGAAAGAUAUUUUACAAAUUCUAAGUAGGUUGCCUUUCUUUUGAAGGGAAGGAAAGAAAGUUCUGAUCUUUUAUUAGUAAACAACAAACAAUUUUAAAAUUUGCCUAAAGUUUACCUUUCCAAUCAACUGUAACACCUGUGCAGUAUAGCAAUUAGAUGAAGCAUUGGGUUUUCCCUCUGUCUUUUUGUUUUUAUGAUUCCUUGUAUGUAUCGCUUAUUCAGACAGAAUCUCACCCUGCAGUGGGAAUAAAUCCAGGAAAUGACAGCGACCAGAAGGAGUUUUUGUGAGGUUCCUUCUGAGAGCAUUCCCCCACAUGACUCUGUUGAGGUAUGUGAUUAAUAUUAAACUGUAGAUCAUAUUUCCGUGCUUUUCCAGAUGCUAAUUUGGGAUUCUCCCCUGGGGUACCUGUGUCUGGUUAGCUAAGUAUGGAGACAGAUGAACUCUUUGCUGUGUGAACCUAUGCAGCCAGGUCAAGGAGCACAAUUAGAAGACAACCUGCCUAUCCUAAAAUAUCAUCCUAAC